GCCGGGCGCGGUGGCACAUGCUUGUAGUCCCAGCUACUUGGGAGGCUGAGGUGGGAGGAUCGCUUGAGCCCAGGAGUUCUGGGCUGUAGUGCGCUGUGCUGAUCGGGUGUCCACACUAAGUUGAGCAUCAGUAUGGUGAUGCCGGGAGCGGGGGACCACCAGGUUGCCUAAAGGAGGGGUGAACCGGGCCCAGGUCAGAAAUGGAGCAGUCCAAACUCCCUGCUGAUCAGUAGUGGGAUCGCACCUGUCAUAGCCCCUGCACUCCAGCUGGCAACAUAGCGAGACCCGUUCUU
rnacentral:SRP_RNA from 1 species